rnacentral:lncRNA from 1 species
CCGGUGCAUACCCCAGCUUGGCCAACAUCAUUUGCACCCAAGGAUGAAAUGGUAGUCUGAAGCCAUGCUGGUACAUAUCAGUAAAAAUCAACACAAAACCCUUGGAAGGAUAUCUAACCACAUCAGCUGCAGUGGGUAACCUCAAGCCUACAUAGGGUGGAACACAAUAGUCUAUCCGAAGCUCGGCCAACUUUGCUUCUGUAAGUAUGUUCCGCCUCGCCAAAAGGAUACCAACUCGUAUGUCCACUCCCUCUAAAGCUGAAGCCACGGCCACACCCACGAAUCCCCGGAUAGUGAUGCCUAGUUGCUCGAGCCAACCUCUGGCGUAUAAGGCAAGGCUAGAACCCGAUCAGCUAUAGCCUCUAACUCUAUGUAAUUCCUCUGCAUCUCCGUAUAUGCAGCUGACCCAGAGUUUACUAAUAGCUCACCCUCAUGCACUACCAUCCUACUCUCUAU